AACGAACGCUGGCGGCAUGCCUAACACAUGCAAGUCGAACGAGCCCUUCGGGUCUAGUGGCGCACGGGUGCGUAACGCGUGGGAACCUGCACUUAGGUUCGGAAUAACUCCCCGAAAGGGGUGCUAAUACCGGAUAAUGUCUUCGGACCAAAGAUUUAUCGCCUUUGGAUGGGCCCGCGUUGGAUUAGCUAGUUGGUAGGGUAAAAGGCUACCAAGGCGACGAUCCAUAGCUGGUCUGAGAGGAUGAUCAGCGACACUGGGACUGAGACCCGGCCCAGACUCCUACGGGAUGCAGCAGUGGGUAAUAGUGGAAAAUGGGCGGAAGCCUGAUCCAGCAAUGCCGCGUGAGUGAUGAAGGCCUUAGGGUUGUAAAGCUCUAUUACCCGGGAUGAUAAUGACAGUACCGGGAGAAUAAGCCACGGCUAACUCCGUG
rnacentral:rRNA from 1 species